rnacentral:lncRNA from 13 species
AUAAUACUUGUUUAACAGACAAUGUCUAGGCAGAGUGGUGUGAGUAGGUGUGGCUGGGAACUGAUGUCACAUCCUCUCUGGUUCAAUAUCAAGCCUGGAACUCCAAUUCUAAGUCAUUCAUAAAUCACACAGGGACUUCCCUGGUAUAGCUGGGGGGGAGGGAGAGAUCUGUUGCGGCAUACGACAGGAAGUGAACUGGUAUGAACUGUUAGGAACUAGUGAAAGAGAGGGGAAAAUGAAUGUCAUGUGUCUGUGUGCUGAAUCCAGGCCACUGUGUGGACCACCCCCUCCAUACACACCUCUCUCCAGCAAA